UUUGUAAUUACGGAAGAUGGA
rnacentral:siRNA from 1 species